rnacentral:ribozyme from 1 species
GUCGCCUUGAAGGACUGAUAUGGGUAUGGAUCCGAAGCCUCUCGAAGGAUAAUAUAGGCACUCUAUACCCUACUCCGACUCAAUACGUCCACGACGCACAGAACGGUAACAUAUCUCUCCAAAUAUCUGAGCUUGGAUAUACGAGGAAACCCAACUCCUUGGGAAGAUAGGCUAAAUGGCUAAAUUGAGCGGA